GUCUACUUCUCUUUUGAGUAGACAAUUCUUCUUAGAGGGACUGGCAACUCUUAGUUGCACGAGAUUGAGCAAUAACAGGUCUGUGAUGCCCUUAGAUGUUCUGGGCCGCACACGCGCUACACUGAAUAGAUCAGCGUGUCACCCUUCCUGAAAAGGACGGGUAAACCGCUGAACCCUAUUCGUGGUAGGGAUCGGGGCUUGCAAUUAUUCCCCGUGAACCAGGAAUUCCCAGUAGGCGCAAGUCAUAAGCUUGCGUCGAUUACGUCCCUGCCCUUUGUACACACCGCCCGUCGCUACUACCGAUUGAACGUUUUAGUGAGGUCCUCGGACUGUGAGCCUGGCGGGUAACUCUGCCUGGUCUGCGGGAAGACGACCAAACUGUAGCGUUUAGAGGAAGUAAAAGUCGUAACAAGGUAUCCGUAGGUGAAAA
rnacentral:rRNA from 1 species